AAGAAAGUGACAGAGUGGUGAUGUGGCUGGCUUGAAACCAGUUUAUGGGGGUUCAAUUCCUUCCUUUCUUG
rnacentral:tRNA from 1 species